rnacentral:rRNA from 1 species
UACGAAGGGGGCUAGCGUUGCUCGGAAUUACUGGGCGUAAAGCGUGCGCAGGCGGUUUUGUAAGCCAGAUGUGAAAUCCCCGGGCUUAACCUGGGAAUGGCAUUUGGGACUGCAAGGCUGGAGUGUGGCAGAGGAGACUGGAAUUCCUGGUGUAGCAGUGAAAUGCGUAGAUAUCAGGAGGAAUACCGAUGGCGAAGGCAGGUCUCUGGGCUGACACUGGCGCUCAUGCACGAAAGCGUGGGGAGCAAACAGG